UUUUCCCGGUCACUGGGCAUGCAAGAGGGUAUUGCUAGGUAGUAUAUUCAACAGUAAACCUUAAUCUUCUGUAACAUGGAGGUGGUUGUGAAAGAAGAAGUGCCAUCCUUAAUCUUUUCUGCUUAUUUCAAUAUAUACCUUUAUUACUGUGCUGUUUAAGAAUGACCAGUUAAACAAUUCAAGUCUGUAAUUAUUGAUACAGUUCAAGGGAAUGGAAAGAAUUCGCCUGAUAGGAGACCAAACAAACGUAGCUGCUGUAUCUGCUAUGGAACGCAGGUCGACUCUUUUCUGUAUAGAUGUGGGCAUAUGUGCACCUGUCUCAAAUGCGCCCAUGGGCUGCGGCAGGGCAGUGGAAAAUGUCCAAUUUGUCGAGCUCCAGUAUUGGAUGUCGUGCGAGCAUACCUGGAUUCAUAGUGAACUGGUGAACGAGUUCUUGCUCUAGAGGACCGUCUUUUUCAUAUAACUUAACGCAUUUGAUGCUGACUUUGGAAAAAGGCAAAUCUUUUUACUUUGCUUCUUUCACCUCUUUGGAUCAAUAUAACCAUCUAAUCUUGGUAGUCACAAGUAAUAUCUGAUCGUUACUGUCUCUCAUCUUCAAAUUUACGCUGUAAAUGCUUUUGAGUAGUAAAAUUUAACAGUCUCGGUAGGCUGUUGUUUAAUUUACAAA